GAUCAGAACAGAAAGAAAUGUGUCUUAUUUCUGAAAUCAGUGGAGGUUUAGAGCUGUUCUUCUUUAGCCUGGUCCUGGAAAAUUAAUCACCUUUGUUACCAACUCAAAUCUUUCUGGAGAGAUUGAAGUUGUUCCUCUAUUUCACACAGUGAAUGAAUAAAUGAAUAAAAGGACAAUUCAUUUUCAAUAGCUGCAUAAUUAUAAUAGAAACUGUAAAAACUUUUCAAUGCAGGAUUUUUUUAAACAACUUAAAAAAACAAAAACAAACAAAAUACUUUCUACAAAGUGAAGAUUUUGGGGCCUGAAUUAAAAGGUUUUUGUUCGAACCAAGUUAUUAUUAAAAAGCCAUAUUUAUAGUUAGAGGCAUGUUUUGUUCUUUUGUUGACUUUUGUAAAUAUUAUAUAUUAUUUCUAACAGAAUCUGAUAUUUUUAUUUUGUCUGGUGAAGUUUUACUUUGCAACUCAAAGUAAAACUGGAGGGAGACAUCUAGUGGUUAAAUCAGAGUAUUACUCUGAUAAAUCACGAGUCUUUAUUAGGAUGUUGAUGCCAAAUUUAAUAGAAAAUGUGAAACAUGAUUGUCUUCAGAUCUUUUACAGAUCUGUUUAUCUUCUAGUUGGAAGUUGUUCAUUUAUCCUAAACAAUAUUAAACUGCUGUUGUCACAUUAAAUAUGUAAAAAGUCAAACUUUAUAGUUAUUAUGAUUAUUAUAAUCAACAUUAUUCAAAGUUCUAAACAAUAAAGAGUUUAAAACAAAUCAUAUCAAACAGUUAAAACACAAAGAAACUCAAUAAAAAUAUAGUAUAAAAUUAAUGCACAUAAAACAAAGUGAAUAUAAAAAACUUUAAUUUAACCUGAGAAUCAUUCAAAGAACAUUCUUGUCUGAUGUCUUAAAAUCAAACUGUUCCUCAUGAUGAUGAGGCACAAAAGGAGAAAACAUUCUGCAGACGGUUUCUUCUGGUUUUAGGAGUUUUUCAAAGGUCAGAGUUUUUAAAAGGUCAGAGUUUAUCAAAGGUCAGAGUUUUUAAAAGGUCAUUGUCUGGAGAUGGGAGAACAUGAGACAUAAAACUGCAGAAGAUCAGGAAACUUUAAAUCUUGUAAAUAAACAGAAAAACAUUAAAGUUUGUUUGAACUUAAAGCAACCAGUGAAAAUAUUACAGAAGCAGAAAUGUGAACAUAUUUCCAGGUUUUGGUAAAAUGUGAUCAGCCACAUUUUGAAUCAUCUGCAGAUCAUAAAACUUUUCCUCAGUAACCAGAAAGCAGAACAUUACAGUAAACGAUGCAUGAAAACACAAAUGGAUGAAUAAAAACCUCUUCAGAUCCACCACUGAAUUAUUAAAUGAUAAAACUUUUAAAUUCACCAAAAACAUUUAAGUUUAGAGAUGAUCAAAGCUGCUCCUUGUUAACUCUUCAAUGAGAAGGAUUGAACCUCACAACCAAAUUAUUGACCUUAUUACUGCAUUUAUGACAAUUUUUAAAGUAACAUUUUGGAACAAGUGAAGUUUCUGAGCUGCAACCUGAUUGCAGAUAAACAAGAUAAAACAAGUCAACAGUUUUUAUAUAUUAAAGUCACAAACCUGCAGAUCAUCAGAUCAACAUUAAAGAUGUACAGAAGAAAAUUAUUAGAGUUAUUAAUAUGUAGAAACCUGUUUGUGGAUAAACUCUAAACUCCAUCUCUAGUUUUAGCAGAUUCUCAACUCAGGGAGAAACUUUCAGAGAUUAAUGAUGAAUAUACAACAUUAAACAUACACAGUAAUAUAUAUACUGAGUAUGUUUACAUUUGAAUAUUGUGUAUGUUUGUGUAGGUUUUACCAGCAAACAAUGAAACUGUCUUUGAAUCCUGAGAUGAACUAAAUAAACUGUCUUGAUGAGCAGCUAUAAAACAGCUGAAACACUUUAUCUCUGUUAAGAGCUGCUUUGGAAACAUUACAAAUAAAAUGAUUAAAUGAUAAAAUGUAAUGUUUUUGUACUUUUGUGUUUUUAUGAGGAAAAGCAGCUUGAAAUGCUUUGAUGAUGAAGUUUAUUCCAACUAUAUAAAUAAACUUGAUGGAUCAUUUUAUGAUAGGUUAGUAGGUUGAGAUUGUUUGUUAUGUUUAAGUUAAAUAUCUGAUAUUUAAAUAUCUGGUGUAUUUCUGGUGAAGUCAUGAUUUGGGGAGACAAACAAAUAAUUAACAAACAAAUAAAUAAUAAAGACAAAGACAGUGGAUGCUGGUCAAGACAGUUAUUGGGAUUUUUAGGGAGAUUUUCACUUUCUUCAUAUUAUUUAAAAUAUGAAGAAUUAGUUUAAAUAAUAAUGAGAUUGAAUAGAGGUUUGAAACAAACUGUGAAUUGGCGAUUAAACUGAAAUGUCACAUUACUAGUAAACAUGCUCCACUAAACCAAAGAAAUUAGACAAAUUAUUUUUUGUGUGUUUCAUUCUUUGUUUUUGUUUAGAGCAUCAAUAAAUGUUUUUUAUGUUUAAUGUGAACUGAUGUUAAACUUUGACUCUUGUAAAUAAAAACCCUUUAAAACAUU